rnacentral:rRNA from 1 species
UACGGAGGGUGCAAGCGUUAUCCGGAUUCACUGGGUUUAAAGGGUGCGUAGGUGGGCUAGUAAGUCCGUGGUGAAAUCUCUGAGCUUAACUCGGAAACUGCCGUGGAUACUAUUAGUCUUGAAUCUCGUGGAGGUAAGCGGAAUAUGUCAUGUAGCGGUGAAAUGCUUAGAUAUGACAUAGAACACCAAUUGCGAAGGCAGCUCGCUACACAGUUAUUGACUCUGAGGCACGAAAGCGUGGGGAUCAAACAGG